GCCUCCGAGCCAGUGACCCUUCCCAGACCGCCGACCACUCAAGAG
rnacentral:ribozyme from 1 species